CAACUAUAAAACCCAAUUUUUGAGAACUGGGCCCCCUGGAUUGGCAGAUACACACACAAGACACCAUCUGUGUUCAACACAGUGGCAUAAAGUGCAAAGCACAAGUACACAAGACCACAUUGCUGAAAUUGACAUGACAGAGGAAAGACUCUGAGGUUUGAAAUAUGAAUAAAGUGUGAGAUUCACUAAAGUGUGAACCUCUAUAGCCUCUUAUAAUUUGCAAUUUAAUAAUAAUGAUGAAUGUGAAACUAGUUCUUUGUGUGUUAGUUUUAAGUAUGAUUAGAAGGUAGCAACUGAUUAAGACCUGCAUAGUGAUGGUUGUUUAUCCAUGGUUUAAGAUUUAUUGUUGCCCCAUUCUUACAAAUCAGUCAAUUAUAAAUGUUUUCAUUAAUUAAAUGUAAAAAGAAAACAAUAUUAUAUAGAACUCCUACUUCAGAGUAUAUAUUAUCUUGUAAAGGUCCUGUGGAAAAACAUAAAAAUAAACCUGAAAAAAACUACUGCUGCUACGCGUCAAGAGCGUUUCAAGACAGGUGGGGGACUCCCAGUUCCACCAGACACAGAGGAGUUGGGGGACUUGUUGGCUGGGAUUAUUGAAAGUCAGCAACCCCUGGAAGGUAUUCCAGAUGAUGACCAUUUGGACAGUUCAGAUGACCUGAUCUUGACACAGGACUUGGGGGGCGCAGGGAACAGUCAAGAUGCUCAAAUGAAUCCAGCAGCAGCCAGCACCAACAUGCAGAAGCAUCCAGUCUCCUGCAGUAGCAUUAGUCAGCAUCCAGCAGUCUCUAAUCCAGGCAGCAGGUCAAGAGGGAAAAGGAUGACCAUUCAUGAGAAACUUGCCAUAGAGUUCCAUGAACGUAAAUUACAAUAUUUAAAAGAAGAACAUGAAGUCAAAAUGAAAAUUCUUCAUCUUGAGUUGUCUAUGAAAGAGAGAGACAUGAAGCAGCAGCAGUGUCAAUUGUCUUUGGAACAAAAUCUCAGUUAAAUAAAUAAUUUCCUGAAUUUUUUUUACCUGUCUAUGCCAAUCAUUUAUGUAUCACUCAAGGCUCAUUUAUGAGAAGUGCUGCAAAGCAAAAGCAUCUCUGUAAGCAAGUCCAUUUCUGUCAUUGGCUAGCUCAGCGAUAGGGACAUGUUGGUCAUCAUCAUCUUCAAUAUCAGGGUCUGGGCAGUCACACUGUUUAAGAAAAUUAUGAAGCACUGCUGUUGCAAUAAUAACAAUGCAGCUCCUCCUAGGUUCAAACCGCAAUGGAUUUCGGAGACACUGGAAACGAUUCUUCCAUACACCAAACAUGCGCUCUAUUAGCCCUCUGGUGAGCAUGUGAGCUUGGUUAUAGCGCUGUUGCUCUGGUCUGACUGGAUGGAGAUAAGGGGUGAACAAGAAGUUUGUCUGUGCAUACCCACUGUCACCAAGUAGAAUUCCAGAGUGUUGUCUUGUUUCAAACUGAC
rnacentral:lncRNA from 12 species